GGGAAACUGGGUCUAAUACCGGAUAGGAACCAUCUUUAGUGUGGUGGUUGGAAAGUUUUUUCGGUGUAGGAUGAGCUCGCGGCCUAUCAGCUUGUUGGUGGGGUAAUGGCCUACCAAGGCGGCGACGGGUAGCCGGCCUGAGAGGGUGUACGGCCACAUUGGGACUGAGAUACGGCCCAG
rnacentral:rRNA from 1 species